GAGUCUUAGACAAUGGGGGACAGCCUGACCUAGCCAUGCCGCCCGAUCGAAGGAGGCCUUCGUGCUGUAAAUAUCUUUCAGCUGGGAAGAUAAUAACAGUACCAGCAGAAGAAGCCCCGGCUAACUCCGUGCCAGCAGCCGCGGUAAUACGGAGGGGGCUAGCGUUAUUCGGAUUUACUGGGCGUAAAGCGCACGUAGGCGGAUCAGAAAGUCAGGGGUGAAAGCCCGGGGCUCAACCUCGGAACUGCCUUUAAAACUCCUGGUCUUGAGGUCGAGAGAGGUGAGUGGAAUUCCGAGUGUAGAGGUGAAAUUCGUAGAUAUUCGGAGGAACACCAGUGGCGAAGGCGGAUCACUGGCUAGAUACUGACGCUGAGGUGCGAAAGCGUGGGGAGCAAACA
rnacentral:rRNA from 1 species